CUCUCUGCUUUCAGCUUCUUUACAGUGUUGCCUUGUGGCAUGGAGUUCAAGCAGCAUUGUACAGGGCUAUCAAAGCACAGAGAG
rnacentral:pre_miRNA from 1 species